rnacentral:rRNA from 1 species
CCUACGGGAGGCAGCAGUGGGGAAUAUUGGGCAAUGGACGCAAGUCUGACCCAGCAACGCCGCGUGAAGGAAGAAGGCUUUCGGGUUGUAAACUUCUUUUAAGGGGGAAGAGCAGAAGACGGUACCCCUUGAAUAAGCCACGGCUAACUACGUGCCAGCAGCCGCGGUAAUACGUAGGUGGCAAGCGUUGUCCGGAUUUACUGGGUGUAAAGGGGGCGCAGACGGCAAUGCAAGCCAGGAGGGAAAGCCCGGGGCCCAACCCCGGGACUGCUCUUGGAACUGCAUGGCUGGAGUACAGGAGGGGCAGGCGGAAUUCCUAGUGUAGCGGUGAAAUGCGUAGAUAUUAGGAGGAACACCGGUGGCGAAGGCGGCCUGCUGGACUGUGACUGACGUUGAGGCCCGAAGGCGUGGGGAGCAAACAGGAUUAGAUACCCCUGUAGUC